AAAUUGAAGAGUUUGAUCAUGGCUCAGAUUGAACGCUGGCGGCAGGCCUAACACAUGCAAGUCGAACGGUAACAGGAAACAGCUUGCUGUUUCGCUGACGAGUGGCGGACGGGUGAGUAAUGUCUGGGAAACUGCCUGAUGGAGGGGGAUAACUACUGGAAACGGUAGCUAAUACCGCAUAAUGUCGCAAGACUAAAGAGGGGGACCUUCGGGCCUCUUGCCAUCGGAUGUGCCCAGAUGGGAUUAGCUAGUAGGUGGGGUAACGGCUCACCUAGGCGACGAUCCCUAGCUGGUCUGAGAGGAUGACCAGCCACACUGGAACUGAGACACGGUCCAGACUCCUACGGGAGGCAGCAGUGGGGAAUAUUGCACAAUGGGCGCAAGCCUGAUGCAGCCAUGCCGCGUGUAUGAAGAAGGCCUUCGGGUUGUAAAGUACUUUCAGCGGGGAGGAAGGGAGUAAAGUUAAUACCU
rnacentral:rRNA from 2 species